GACGAACGCUGGCGGCGUGCUUAACACAUGCAAGUCGAACGCUGAAGCUCAGCUUUUGUUGGGUGGAUGAGUGGCGAACGGGUGAGUAACACGUGAGUAACCUGCCCCCUUCUUUGGGAUAACGCCCGGAAACGGGUGCUAAUACUGGAUAUUCACUGGUCUUCGCAUGGGGGUUGGUGGAAAGGGUUUUUCUGGUGGGGGAUGGGCUCGCGGCCUAUCGGCUUGUUGGUGGGGUGAUGGCCUACCAAGGCUUUGACGGGUAGGCGGCCUGAGAGGGUGACCGGGAACAUGGGGAGUGAGAUACGGCCCAGACUACUGCGGGAGGCAGCAGUGGGGAAUAUUGCACAAUGGGCGGAAGCCUGAUGCAGCGACGCCGCGUGAGGGAUGGAGGCCUUCGGGUUGUGAACCUCUUUCGCUAAUGGUCAAGCCGCAACAAUGGUUGUGGUGAGGGUAGUGGGUAAAGAAGCGCCGGCUAACUACGUG
rnacentral:rRNA from 1 species